rnacentral:tRNA from 1 species
GGGGUUGUGGCUCAGUGGUGGAGCGCUUGCCUAGCACAUGCAUGGCCCUGAGUCCGAUUCUCAGCACCACA